rnacentral:rRNA from 1 species
AGGAUCAUUAAUGAAAUGAACCUUGAGGCUGUCGCUGGCCCCUCUGGGGCAUGUGCACGUCUCUGGUCAUUACCAAUUCCACCUGUGCACACUUGUAGACACUUGGGAAUGAGAGACCUUGACCAGUCUCUUGAGAAGUUGAAAAUCUGGGUGUCUAUGCCAUUUUAUUAAACACUAGUUGCAUGUUUAUAGAAUGAUGAUUUGAUUAAAUAUAAAGUACAACUUUCAACAACGGAUCUCUUGGCUCUCGCAUCGAUGAAGAACGCAGCGAAAUGCGAUAAGUAAUGUGAAUUGCAGAAUUCAGUGAAUCAUCGAAUCUUUGAACGCACCUUGCGCUCCUUGGCAUUCCGAGGAGCAUGCCUGUUUGAGUGUCAUUAAAUUCUCAAGACCUGUCUGCUUUUUUGAUAGGUAUUGGAUUUUUGGGGGUUGCAGGCUGUUUCAAAUAAAAAUAGCCUUGCUCUCUUUGAAUGUAUUAGUGGAGAAAAGCCAUUGAACUCCAUUGGUGUGAUAAAACCUAUCAAUGCCAGGAGCAAUAUCACUUCUCUCUGCUGUCUAACUGUGACUGUCUGUAUAAAUUUAUAUGGAUGGGGACAACUUGACCAACUUGACCUCAAAUCAGGUAGGACUACCCGCUGAACUUAAGCAUAUCAAUAAGCGGAGGAAAAGAAACUAACAAGGAUUCCCCUAGUAACUGCGAGUGAAGCGGGAAAAGCUCAAAUUUAAAAUCUGGCAGAUGUUUGUCUGUCCGAG